rnacentral:tRNA from 1 species
UCCCUGGAAGAUUAGUGGUUAGCCUCGGAGCUUUCACCGCUGUGGCCCGGGUUCAAUUCCUGGCCAGGGAA